AGGGGAUAGAACUGCAGCAGUGACAGUAAAUACUGUGACUGGAUGGAUGUAUGAACACUAAAAUUUCUCAAUACUGGUACAGACAUUUCCUUCUCUCUGGAGAUGAAAGCAGAACUCAAGUAGGAGUGGACAGAGAACAAAAUCAUGGAUAUAAUUUUUAACCUUCACUCCAGUAAGGUUCAUUCCUGCCAGCAGCAUGCAGUCCUGAGCAGAGAUGGUAGGAUAGGGACAAAAUGAAGCUUCU